AAGAACAAAAAAAGGAGCCCUAGUUUGCCGAUGUCUCUUUUUUUUUUUUUCCUUUCACUUGCAGCAGCCCCCAUCUUCUCCCUCACUCCCUACGGCCACAAUCCCCAUCUUCUUCUUCACUCUCUACGGCGGCACACACUGCCACGGCUACCAUUAUUGGCCGUCGGAAAGCCUCUGCAGUCAAUUUUUUCCCUUCCGCCUCUUAUCUUCCCAAAACUCCAGCUCUCAGAUGGUACUCAUCAAUUCCCAUUUAUAAUAGCUGCAUCUAUGGCCACCCACAAACAACUCAACGACGAUAACAUCAAACAUGGAAGAAUAGUUGGCAACAACCUCACCGGUGUCAAUGGCACAAUUUCUAGUCUCUCCGGAAAGCAAGUGGACGUCGUGAAGCGGAUCCUGAACGAUUCAUGUUAUUCUUGAUUACUAUGAUGUUCAGAAGUUAGGUAAAUUGUCGAGCGAUAACACUACAGUUCUCACAACUUUAUUUCAGGCAAGCGGUGCCGCAACAAAUCAGCAAGGUUUCAUCAAGGUUAAAUUGAUUAACGAAGGUGAAGUCGCGUUUGGAUUUGCUGUGAAAAGAGCACCGGCUAAUUCAAAAUUGGUGAAAUAUGUUGCUUCUCAGCCAUAGUACUGUCAUCCAAGCAACUCUUAUUUAUAGAAGAAAAAAUAGCAAAUCAGAAAUUCAAAUAAAAUCUAGUUAAUUAGAUUUUAUUAACUAUAUUCUUUUGAUUUUUGGGUGUUUGACGAAGUGUAAACUCAAAUUUGUGUUGAAAUUGGGAUUCUGUUCUAAAAAAAA